rnacentral:rRNA from 1 species
GACGAACGCUGGCGGCGUGCUUAACACAUGCAAGUCGAGCGGUAAGGCCCUUUCGGGGGUACACGAGCGGCGAACGGGUGAGUAACACGUGGGUGACCUGCCUUUAGCUUCGGGAUAAGCCUGGGAAACUGGGUCUAAUACCGGAUAUGACCUGUCCUCGCAUGGGGGUUGGUGGAAAGUCGGUGUUGUAAUGACGCUGUUCGGCUAGAGAUGGGCCCGCGGCCUAUCAGCUUGUUGGUGGGGUGAGGCCUACCAAGGCGACGACGGGUAGCCGGCCUGAGAGGGCGACCGGCCACACUGGGACUGAGAUACGGGCCCAGACUCCCACGGGAGGCAGCAGUGGGGAAUAUUGCGCAAUGGGCGGAAGCCUGACGCAGCGACGCCGCGUGGGGGUNAAGGCC